GACGAACGCGGCGGCGUGCCUAAUACAUGCAAGUCGAACGCACGAAGUUGAAGAGCUUGCUCUUUAACCAAGUGAGUGGCGGACGGGUGAGUAACACGUGGGUAACCUGCCCAUUAGAGGGGGAUAACAUUCGGAAACGGAUGCUAAUACCGCAUAGUCUCAGGGAUCGCAGGAUUCUUGAAGGAAAGGUGGCUCCGGCUACCACUAAUGGAUGGACCCGCGGCGUAUUAGCUAGUUGGUGAGGUAAUGGCUCACCAAGGCAAUGAUACGUAGCCGACCUGAGAGGGUGAUCGGCCACACUGGGACUGAGACACGGCCCAGACUCCUACGGGAGGCAGCAGUAGGGAAUCUUCCGCAAUGGACGAAAGUCUGACGGAGCAACGCCGCGUGAGUGAAGAAGGUUUUCGGAUCGUAAAACUCUGUUGUUAAAGAAGAACAAGGAUGAGAGUAACUGCUCAUCCCCUGACGGUAUUUAACCAGAAAGCCACGGCUAACUACGUGCCAGCAGCCGCGGUAAUACGUAGGUGGCAAGCGUUGUCCGGAUUUAUUGGGCGUAAAGCGAGCGCAGGCGGUUCUUUAAGUCUGAUGUGAAAGCCCCCGGCUCAACCGGGGAGGGUCAUUGGAAACUGGAGAACUUGAGUGCAGAAGAGGAGAGUGGAAUUCCACGUGUAGCGGUGAAAUGCGUAGAUAUGUGGAGGAACACCAGUGGCGAAGGCGACUCUCUGGUCUGUAACUGACGCUGAGGCUCGAAAGCGUGGGGAGCAAACAGG
rnacentral:rRNA from 1 species